GACUCGAUGGCAGAGGAUAUGCGUGCACCACUUUUACGAUGCGAAACAUGAUGGUGUGCGGAUUACGCCCGUUCGAAUCGGGCUCGAGUCU